rnacentral:rRNA from 1 species
AACCAUGCAAGUCGAACGGGAUCCAUCAGGCUUUGCUUGGGGUGAGAGUGGCGAACGGGUGAGUAAUGCGUGACCGACCUGCCCCAUACACCGGAAUAGCUCCUGGAAACGGGUGGUAAUGCCGGAUGCUCCAGUUGAUCGCAUGGUCUUCUGGGAAAGCUUUCGCGGUAUGGGAUGGGGUCGCGUCCUAUCAGCUUGACGGCGGGGUAACGGCCCACCGUGGCUUCGACGGGUAGCCGGCCUGAGAGGGCGACCGGCCACAUUGGGACUGAGAUACGGCCCAGACUCCUACGGGAGGCAGCAGUGGGGAAUAUUGCACAAUGGGCGCAAGCCUGAUGCAGCGACGCCGCGUGAGGGAUGGAGGCCUUCGGGUUGUAAACCUCUUUUAUCGGGGAGCAAGCGAGAGUGAGUUUACCCGUUGAAUAAGCACCGGCUAACUACGUGCCAGCAGCCGCGGUAAUACGUAGGGUGCAAGCGUUAUCCGGAAUUAUUGGGCGUAAAGGGCUCGUAGGCGGUUCGUCGCGUCCGGUGUGAAAGUCCAUCGCUUAACGGUGGAUCCGCGCCGGGUACGGGCGGGCUUGAGUGCGGUAGGGGAGACUGGAAUUCCCGGUGUAACGGUGGAAUGUGUAGAUAUCGGGAAGAACACCAAUGGCGAAGGCAGGUCUCUGGGCCGUUACUGACGCUGAGGAGCGAAAGCGUGGGGAGCGAACAGGAUUAGAUACCCUGGUAGUCCACGCCGUAAACGGUGGAUGCUGGAUGUGGGGCCCGUUCCACGGGUUCCGUGUCGGAGCUAACGCGUUAAGCAUCCCGCCUGGGGAGUACGGCCGCAAGGCUAAAACUCAAAGAAAUUGACGGGGGCCCGCACAAGCGGCGGAGCAUGCGGAUUAAUUCGAUGCAACGCGAAGAACCUUACCUGGGCUUGACAUGUUCCCGACGGUCGUAGAGAUACGGCUUCCCUUCGGGGCGGGUUCACAGGUGGUGCAUGGUCGUCGUCAGCUCGUGUCGUGAGAUGUUGGGUUAAGUCCCGCAACGAGCGCAACCCUCGCCCCGUGUUGCCAGCGGAUUAUGCCGGGAACUCACGGGGGACCGCCGGGGUUAACUCGGAGGAAGGUGGGGAUGACGUCAGAUCAUCAUGCCCCUU